UCUCUCUGUCUCUUACUCUCUUUGUAUUUAAAUCUAUCUCUCAAAUAAAUAAAUAAAUAAAAAUUUCAUGAGAAAAAUUUUUAUAUGUAAACCAAAUUCUGGUCUUGUCUAUGCAAUGUCCCCCAUCAAUGCCUUUUCAGUCUUCCUUUCUAGAUUCCCCCUAGGUAAACUUUGAAACGAUUUUUCCUAGUCUCAAUUAUUCCAAAUUUAUGCUAUCAUUAUUACAUCAUUAAAUAUAUAGUAGAGUAUUUUCAAGGAAGUGAAAUCCUGCCAACAGUGUCUAGUGAUGAUUCCAUUCUGCUUCACUGUGUCAAAGUCAAACUUUGGUUUUGUGUAUCCAAGUAUUAAAAUGUGAAGAAUAUAAGCAUUUGUAUUUUUCUUAUGAGUUUUCUCUUCCUAUUCACGGUCUUUUUGAUUUGUAUAAUUCCCCGGAGUUCAGUGGUAUUAAAAAAAAAGCUAACCCUAGUACAUCCUCCAACUCCAAUAUAACAAAUUAAAUUACUGAAUACUGUGCACUCACAAUUUUGACAUAUAUCUUUUAAAAUAGAGCCAAUUUUUACUCUAUUUCAUUUCUUUUUCCUCAUAUUAUUUUCCUGGCAUGUCUGAUUUCUAACAAAGAGUGAUGCUCAGCUCUUAUUUCAGAAUUAUUCAAAAUAUAUUAUAAAAAUAUCUUCUAAAGUAUUCUCUUGACACCUCUGGAAACAAUAUCCUUUGAUUAUCACAAACAAUUUUGAUCUGCUUCUUUCUCUCAUUGUUGGGAGAGUAUCAAUCGUAUUCCCUCUAAAUUUGCACUAACUUUACAUUUUCUCUUUCUUUUCAGAGUAUGGAUUUCACCAUUCGCCUUUUUAUUUGAGAUCACUUUACAAUGUCAAAACGAAGGUUUUGAACAGGGCACUGAGAAGGUCCUUAAAAUUUAAGGUUGCUGUACCUUCUCUGGGAAAUUUUGAUGCUGUGUCUGGUCUCUUGCUCAGCAGAUUGGACCACAAUGGUGGUAGGAAGGAGAAUCAGAAGGAUCAUCUUAAGGCUUCAGUUACAUAAUGUAGUGCUGCUGUAAAAAUAAUCCAGAUUUGUAGCUUGUAUUUGCAUUCAAUUUCCUGCUCUUACACUUUUUAAUAAAAUGUACAACUUUGUAUGUAGUUCUUUGAAU
rnacentral:lncRNA from 1 species